rnacentral:lncRNA from 1 species
ACUUUUUAACUGAAAAUAUGUAGUAGUUAAAUUUCGAACUUAGAACUUAUAUAAGAUCCCAAUCAUCAAGUACUUUAGCAACUGUUGCAAAAUACAUAAAACUUUCCAACAGCGUAUAAUGCCUAUUGUAGUGUAGAGCUACUAUGCUAUCGAAAGUACAGAUAAUUUGACGCUUUUGAUUUUUUAACCCUUGGAUCAAGAAUUGUACGAAUGGGAUGAUUACAGUGUUUCCCACAGGAUAAUAGUAUUAAUCCAAGAUUAGAAGUGAUUAAAAUGACUGAUUUAAAAGUUAAAAAGUCGGAAGCAGCAGAUUCUCUAUACUUUCGAUAGUGUAGUAGCUCUGCUCGCCUAUUGUACGCACGUAGUA